UGCCGAGGAAGAAGGCGUGAGUCCAAUGUUGCUUCAUUUGGAUUCAUAUGCAUAUCACCAGGCUACAAAAAUUUCUGAACCAAUUAAAUGGUUUUUGAAACAAAAGUGGAACAACCUAAAAGGAGAAAGUUCAGAUUUUCCAACCGUUGACACAAAAACAGUUGAGGUUCCUCAAGAAACAAACGAUUACGAUUGUGGUCUGUUUGUUAUGUAUUUCAUGAAGUUGUUUCUUAAACAAGCUCAAAAAAGAUUCAAGAUUCAAAAUUUGGAAAUGACAGAAAUCAACUUAUCAAAGCUUUUGAAACAGUCUGCACAAGCUUCCAAAAUCUAGGCUUCACCCACCUAAGCUAGAUAGCCAAGAAUAACAUGUGUAAACAGUGUCAAAAUCAACAUAUUGCGAGGGGUAAGAAAUUCCUCAAAUUGGAAUUCUUUUGGUUUGUUGUAUGAAUAAUAGUU